rnacentral:rRNA from 1 species
UUGCAGUUAAAGAGCUUGUAGUUGGAUUUCUGGUACAAUGCGCCUGGCCCGCGAGGGUUACCUCUGUGAGUGCCGGUGCGCGUUUGCCAUCCUUCUAGAAAACGUUUCUACCCUUGAUUGGGCCGGACUCGCGAUCUAGAUCUUUUACUUUGAAAAAAUUAGAGUGUUUAAAGCAGGCUUUUGCUAUGAAUACAUUAGCAUGGAAUAAUAAUCUAGGACUUCGGUUCUAUUUUGUUGGUUUCUAGUACUGAAGUAAUGAUUGAUAGGGAUAGUUGGGGGUGCUAGUAUUGGCCGGCCAGAGGUGAAAUUCUUGGAUUCGGUCAAGACUAACUUAUGCGAAAGCAUUCACCAAGGAUGUCUUCUUUAAUCAAGAACGAAAGUUGGGGGAUCGAAGACGAUCAGAUACCGUCGUAGUCUCAACCAUAAACUAUGCCAACUAGGGAUGAGUGAACGUUGCAUUUUUGACUUCAUUCGCACCUUAUGAGAAAUCAAAGUCUUUGGGUUCCGGGGGGAGUAUGGUCGCAAGGCUGAAACUUAAAGGAAUUGACGGAAGGGCCCCACCAGGAGUGGAGCCUGCGGCUUAAUUUGACUC